UAGGAACCGAAAGGUGACCGACCUUCGGGAGCUUGCACAGGUGCUGCAUGGCUGUCGUCAGCUCGUGUCGUGAGAUGUUCGGUUAAGUCCGCUAACGAGCGCAACCCUCGCUGUGUGUUAUAUGUGUCCCACGGGACUGCCGGUCUUAAGCCGGAGGAAGGUGGGGAUGAUGUCAAGUCAGCAUGGCCUUUAUAUCCUGGGCUACACACACGCUACAAUGGCCAACACAAUAGGUUGCUAAGCCGCGAGGUGGCGCCAAUCCAUAAAGUUGGUCUCAGUUCAGAUUGUAGGCUGCAACCCGCCUGCAUGAAGAUGGAGUUGCUAGUAACCGCAGGUCAGCUAUACUGCGGUGAAUACGUUCCCGGGCUU
rnacentral:rRNA from 1 species